GACGAACGCUGGCGGCGUGCUUAACACAUGCAAGUCGAACGGAAAGGCCCUGCUUUUGUGGGGUUCUCGAGUGGCGAACGGGUGAGUAACACGUGAGUAACCUUCCCUUGACUUUGGGAUAACUUCAGGAAACUGGGGCUAAUACCGGAUAGGAGCUCCUGCUGCAUGGUGGGGGGUGGAAAGUUUCGGCGGUUGGGGAUGGACUCGCGGCUUAUCAGCUUGUUGGUGGGGUAGUGGCUUACCAAGGCUUUGGAGGGUAGCCGGCCUGGGAGGGUGAACGGGCACCAUGGGACUGAGGUAAGGGCCAGACUCCUACGGGGGGCAGCAGGGGGGAAUAUUGCCCAAUGGGACGAAGUCUGAUGCAGCAACGCCGGGGUGGGGAAGAAGGGCUUUGGGUUGUAAAACGCUUUCGCCUGUGACGAAGCGUGAGUGACGGUAAUGGGUAAAGAAGCAACGGCUAACUUCGUG
rnacentral:rRNA from 1 species